AAAUUGUGUAACUGUUAACAUGAACUCUGAAUUAAACUGAAAUGUUUCCCCGUUGUCGGUGUGAUGGAGUGAUAAGUACAGUGAAGUGGUCAUUUCCAGGUGAUUUCAUUAAUAUCCGGCUUUGACAACCUCCUUUCUCCCUCAGUUAGUAUCAUAGCGUGGAUUCUGAGGAUUUACAUGUUAUAUUGAAUUUGGAAGGUAAGCAACUCUAGUUUUUUUACAUACAACUUUACAUGACUAGACCGACUCAAUAUUUUUAAAUUCCCAUUUAUAUAUAUAUAUACAAACAUUAGAUCUGAAGUAGACUUAAUUGUAUAAGAGUAUCUUCCAAAUUAUUUUCAUUAUCCUUGAGAAACUUCAAUGCAAAUUCUGCCUCAUUGGAAUCAAGGAAUAAAUCAGCAUAUGCAAGACGAUUAGCGCAGUUUUUCCCUGAUGAAUGCCGAUUGACAGUUGAAAAGGGUCGAUCAAACGUAACAAAUAAAUGUAUUAUCAAUGAUAAGAAAUCAAGCAUCCUGAUGAUAUUGGUUUCAAAGAACUAUUUGUUAGAAUCAGAAUAGUUUCCCUUUUCGCUCUAAUCAAUACAAGUCUUAUUUCACCAACAACAAAUAAAAGCACAAAAAACAGACAUAACUGAGAUAAUUAAUUCAUAUUAUGGCAGAGAUUAUCAUUCUUGGUACAGCUUCUUAAUUUAGAAGUUGGUCACGUUAAAAUCAAGAGGAGAGAUUUUAUUUAAUGUGUUAUUCUUUUGAAUUAUCUUACUUUUUUUAUGCCCCACCUACGAUAGUAGAGGGGCAUUAUGUUUUCUGGUCUGUGGCUCCGUUCGUUCGUUCGUUCGUCCGCAGGUUAAAGUUUUUGAUGAAGCUGAAGUCCAAUCAACUAGAAACUUAGUACACUUGUUGCUUAUGAUAUGAUCUUUCUAAUUUUAAAGCCAAAUUAGACUUUUGACCCCAAUUUCACGGUCAACUGAACAUAGAAAAUGAAAACGGAGUUUCAGGUUAAAGUUUUUGGUCAAGGUAGUUUUUGAUGAAGCUGAAGUCCAAUCAACAAAUUAGACUUUUGACCCAAUUUCAACGGGCCAUGGAACAUGGAAAAUGAUAGUGCCAGUGGGGCAUCCGUGUACUUUGGACACAUUCUUGUUUUAAUUUAUCUCAUGGAUUUAAAUUAUUUCCUGCGGAAAACAUGAAGAAGGUAGCUGCCGCUGCCUCUGAAUAAUUAUAAAAAAUUAUACCAGUCAUGUGUAGUUCACUUACACUAGACACACUCUACUUUUGUAUUAGUAAAUAAUGCUAAGACACACUUGACAAAUUAGAUCAUUUUAUUUGCAGGAUGUUACUCUUCAGCAAAUUGUUCAAGUAUUAUAAUUUUGUGGUAACUCUUCACUGCAUAAGAUAUAUACUUUCUGUCG
rnacentral:lncRNA from 1 species